ACUGAUAUAGACAAAGGAUUUUAAACAGGAUUAUGGUCAAUUAAGCAAAUUAGAAAAGGAUACUUGAAGGAGUAUUUGGGACACAGGAAUCAAAAACACCAGGAAGACAUGAGGAGUUUCCCUAAGACUCUAGACUACAGCACUACAUAGGUAACUAACACCAGGCUAUGUAUUAUAUUAUUGAAGAAAUAAAAUUGACAUUGAAUUACAAACUGUUCACAAAAAGUCAUGAAAAUCUUGUAGACUUGAUUCAAUUCAGACAAAUGUGUCCUUCUCAUUCUCAGCUGUUCACUGGUGCAUUUGUCUUGAAUUUGACCAUCUGGGGAAUGGGCGUGGUCUCUCCUGACAAGAAGGCUCUGGGGCCCAGGCAGGGAGAAUGACAUCUCAGAAUGAUUCCCUUGAGAGUCCUGUUGCCCUUUCAUCAAUGCACAGAACCAGAAGACCCCUCCGUCCUGUAGCACCUGCCAUGAGCAUUGAGCUCCUGUGUUGUGCGGCCUUUUCUCUCCUGUGGACAGGUGGGUCCUGGGCAGGGACCCUUGUGUGGAUUUCAUGGCCCAGCCCCUUUCCAUUGGGGCUGCAGCAUCAGCUUUGUUCUUCUCUGCAGGUCCAGUGAAUGCUGGUGUCACUCAGACACCAAAAUUCCAGGUCCUGAAGACAGGACAGAGCCUGACAGUGCAGUGUGCCCAGGAUAUGAAACAUGACUACAUGUUCUGGUAUCGACAAGACCCAGGCAUGGGGCUGAGACUGAUUUAUUACUCAGUUACUGCUGGUAUCACUACCAAAGGAGAAGUCCCCAAUGGCUACAAUGUCUCCAGAAUAAACACAGAGGAUUUCCUGCUCAGGCUGGAGUCGGCUGAUCCCUCCCAGACAUCUGUGUACUUCUGUGGCAGCAGUUACUCCACAGCAUUACAAGGCUGUCUCCUCUCCGCACAUGAAAGCAGGGAGGCUCUGUCCUCCUCCCCCACCCAAGACUCAGGGAUGCCCUGGGCAGAGUUUUCUGGAACAGGAACCUUGGAACCCCAAGUGGCCCCAACUGGUCCAGACAGUAUGAGCCUCGCUCUGUGCCAGGCGCCUCUGCAGGCAGUCUCAGCCAGGCCUGGACUGCUCCAGGUCCUCAGAUGUCUCCUUUGUUGCUCUCUCUGGUCUAUCCUCUGA